UACGUAGGGGGCGAGCGUUGUCCGGAGUUACUGGGCGUAAAGGGCAUGCAGGCGGUCAGGCGCGUUUUGUGUGACAGCGGAGGGCUUAACUCUCCGAGGAUACGAGAUACGGCGUGACUUGAGAGCGCGAGAGGGACACGGAAUUCCGGGUGGAGUGGUGAAAUGCGUAGAGAUCCGGAGGAACACCGAAGGCGAAGGCAGUGUCCUGGCGCGUAUCUGACGCUGAGGUGCGAAAGCCAGGGGAGCGAACGGG
rnacentral:rRNA from 1 species